AAUGACUUUAUAUAGGAUGUUCUGACCAAGGACCAAUAUCUUGUUGGUGAAUACAACAAAUUGGGCUAGUAAAAAAUUGAUCCUCUCGAGAUAAUCAAAAUGAUUAAUAAUAAUGCUUAUCAGUUAAGGCUGUCUAGUCUUCUCUAUAUCUUUGAUGUGUUUAACGUGAAGCAUUUGGUUCCCUACUUAAUUUUUUACUAUCACAACCCAGUUUUGAGGCCAAAUUCAUUCAUUUAAUAGGUCAACAAAAGUUUGACAGAUCCUAGAUG
rnacentral:lncRNA from 1 species